GAUGAACGCUGGCGGCGUGCCUAAUACAUGCAAGUCGAGCGAACGGACGAGAAGCUUGCUUCUCUGAUGUUAGCGGCGGACGGGUGAGUAACACGUGGAUAACCUACCUAUAAGACUGGGAUAACUUCGGGAAACCGGAGCUAAUACCGGAUGAUAUUUUGAACCGCAUGGUUCAAAAGUGAAAGACGGUCUUGCUGUCACUUAUAGAUGGAUCCGCGCUGCAUUAGCUAGUUGGUAAGGUAACGGCUUACCAAGGCAACGAUGCAUAGCCGACCUGAGAGGGUGAUCGGCCACACUGGAACUGAGACACGGUCCAGACUCCUACGGGAGGCAGCAGUAGGGAAUCUUCCGCAAUGGGCGAAAGCCUGACGGAGCAACGCCGCGUGAGUGAUGAAGGUCUUCGGAUCGUAAAACUCUGUUAUUAGGAAAGAACAUAUGUGUAAGUAACUGUGCCCAUCUUGACGGUACCUAAUCAAAAAGCCACGGCUAACUACGUG
rnacentral:rRNA from 1 species